CGGCCACUGAAGAUCCAAACCAACCGGACACUCCGGACAGCCCGACCUCAGUGGCUCCAUGUAUUAAGCCAAAGGAUACGAAGAACGAUAUCGACCUACUUCGAGUCAAUGGCGCGAAACCAGUGGUAUGGUUCAGGACGAAGGAUCUUGACUUCUGGGAGAACCUGACGACCGGAGACGAGAGCUUCGACAUCGUGUACAUAUUCAACGUGCCGCGGGCGCCGAGGGUGACGAAGGAAACUAAUACCACUAUACAUCCUGACGGUACUGUAGUGGAAGAAGUGACGCAGACCAUUUAUGACGACGAGGAUUUACCACCAAGAGUUAUCAAAACGACUACGGUCACUAAACCUGAUGGCACCCAAUCAAAGACGUGAGAAGAUCUAUAUUGGAUUCAAAUAAGUUUAAAGUAAUUAACAAUACUUUUAGUC